CUUCUCCGCCAAAACCCACCCUCCGCGACCUAACCUCCUCCGACAAAACCAUCCACGAAAAACCUCUUCCGCCUAAACUCUCAUCUGCGCCGCCCACACCUAGGAUUAGUCUAUUCGUAUAGUGCUAGCGAAGCCGCCCUUGCGCUGAUGUUCGAGCUCGUUCGCCUGUGGCGGUGUGGUUGCUCCUCGGCGCCUUGGGUCCCCGUCAAGCUCCUCUCUUCCAUUCUUUUGCGCUCAUCGCACUUCGUGAGCGCAACAUCUCCCAUAACUAAAGAGGACGAGCAUAGGAGACCGAAGAGGGAAUGGCGCACCCUCCCCCCAUUUGUGCCUCCUAUGAUGGCACUGCGAUCAGGAAAGAGCUAUCCGACCUCCGACCUCCCGCAGCGACCAAAUCCAUGAAGGCCUUGAAGUGGGUCCGCCGCUGCUGCCAGAGAUCCCGAUGUCCCUUGUCCAGAAGCUCUUCCGGCUGAGACAUGUCCGAAAAAGGGCAUCUUUUGAAAUUGAACCUCGUAAAUGCUGAUCAUCCAUAACAGGGCCGAUUUAAAAGGAUGGAAUCAUACUUUCUUACUGGUUAAAGACUGGGUUAACUUCUAUCAAAUCGCAUAAUUUGGAUUGUUGCAACAUAACAAAUUCAGGGUUGGCCGCAAUAACAAGUUUCUAUUGAUGGUUGGAGCAAAUGUCUUUUUGUGCUUGAAGCAAAUGUCUUUUGUCGUUUGGAGCACAUGCCUUUUGUUGCUUGGAGCAUAUGUCUUUUGAUUUUUUUUUUGGUGGAGAAAAUUUGUUAUUGAAGGUUGUAUAUCUUUUGGAGAUUGAAGAAAAUAUUAUGUUUGUGUUAUAGUGUGGAGUUAAAUGUUAUAUGUUAUGAAUAUUUUGAAAUGAAAUACAAAUUGUAUGUGU